rnacentral:rRNA from 1 species
AUUGAACGCUGGCGGCAUGCUUUACACAUGCAAGUCGAACGGCAGCGCGGGCUUCGGCCUGGCGGCGAGUGGCGAACGGGUGAGUAAUACAUCGGAACGUGCCCAGUAGUGGGGGAUAGCUCGGCGAAAGCCGGAUUAAUACCGCAUACGACCUGAGGGUGAAAGCGGGGGAUCUUCGGACCUCGCGCUAUUGGAGCGGCCGAUGGCAGAUUAGCUAGUUGGUGGGGUAAAGGCCUACCAAGGCGACGAUCUGUAGCUGGUCUGAGAGGACGACCAGCCACACUGGGACUGAGACACGGCCCAGACUCCUACGGGAGGCAGCAGUGGGGAAUUUUGGACAAAGGGCGAAAGCCUGAUCCAGCAAUGCCGCGUGUGUGGUGAAGGCCUUCGGGUUGUAAAGCACUUUUGGCGGGAACGAAAAGGACUGUGCCAAUACCACGGUUCGAUGACGGUACCCGCAGAAUAAGCACCGGCUAACUACGUG